AGCACACAAUGAAGCUAUUAUCUUAUUGUGUAAUGCACGCGGUAUUGGGUGCUUAAUUACACAUGAGACGCUGCAACCAUGCCAAAUUUUCAGGUGCUACGCUCUAUCGUUUGAUUGUCCAAGGAUGAAUAGACUGAACGCGAGGAUUUGUGUAAAUGACGUAAAUGUAAAUAGCCAUAUAGAACUCGGCUUGAUGCCUCGUAUGUGCUAAUUUAUGCCUUGGCUUCCAUAGGCCGAACAAUUUGCUUGAAACGCCCAUGACAUUUCCAUUAAAAAGCGUUUUCACUUCA